CCUACGGGUGGCAGCAGUGAGGAAUAUUGGUCAAUGGGCGCGAGCCUGAACCAGCCAAGUCGCGUGAGGGAAGACGGUCCUAUGGAUUGUAAACCUCUUUUGUCGGGGAGCAAAAGACGCCACGCGUGGCGUUCCGAGAGUACCCGAAGAAAAAGCAUCGGCUAACUCCGUGCCAGCAGCCGCGGUAAUACGGAGGAUGCGAGCGUUAUCCGGAUUUAUUGGGUUUAAAGGGUGCGCAGGCGGAAGAUCAAGUCAGAGGUAAAAUUGAGAGGCUCAACCUCUGCGAGCCGUUGAAACUGGUUGUCUUGAGUGAGUGAGAGGUAUGCGGAAUGCGUAGUGUAGCGGUGAAAUGCAUAGAUAUCACGCAGAACUCCGAUUGCGAAGGCAGCAUACCGGCGCUCAACUGACGCUCAUGCACGAAAGUGUGGGUAUCGAACAGGAUUAGAUACCCUGGUAGUC
rnacentral:rRNA from 1 species